UUUCUUCUGUUUUCAUCUUUUCUUUCUCUCUUCUCUUAUUCAAGUCCCUCUUUCAUGAGACCGUGGAGAGCACCUGAAGGCUGAAGGUUAUGGAUUUGAGAUUGCCCAUCUGCCGAAUCCUAACCCAAUCUGUAAUGGAUUGGCAAGUGGUAACACCACAAAAAGCGAAGGGGGAGAGAGAAUCGCAAAAUUGGGCUCCGUUUUAGUUUGACUCUGGUCUUUGAUCUUCAUCUACCUGUUAAUUGGGGAAGAGGUUUUCGGUUUCCUUCUAAAAUAAUUAUUGCUUUUUAUUAGGUUUCGUAUAAAAAUUGUUAUCACUCUCUGUGCAUGUAUAUAUUGGUGUUGAGUCUUGAGACAGGUGAUUUAUCUGUAUAGAUGGUGGAGGGAGGGAGGGAGAUACGUACAAAGGGCAUCGUGGACUUGUGGUAGCUCAGAUCCAGAAGGAAGAAAGAAAGAGGGGAUGAGAUGGAUUCGAAGAGGUUGCCGUUCUCAACUAUGGGUGUAAUCAAGGGGAGGAGGGAUGAUGGAAAGAGAGAGAAAGUGGGUUUGUUUUUGGUGAAGAGUAAGAAAAGAGAAGAACAGCAGAUGGGGAAAAACUAAUGAGGAUAUAACAGUCAUUGUACAGAAAUUAUCGUGGCACUAUAAAAUUUCAUCGUUGCAUUAG